GUGAGCGUGGUUCAGUUGGUUAGAACACCGGGUUGUGACCUCGGAGAUCGUGGGUUCAAGUCCCAUCGCUCACCCCA
rnacentral:tRNA from 1 species